rnacentral:misc_RNA from 1 species
UAAUGACAUUGUAGUUUGUAAUAAUAUUCAUCUAAUAGCAAAGUUAGUUUUAACUAAUGUGUAGAACAGUGUUUUAAAAUAAGCUUAGUUAAAGCCCCAAGACAAAGGAAAUCAUUAAAGAAAAUGAUAGCUGUGAAAGGACGCUGCACUAAGUGCAAAAAAAUAAUCGAUAUAAUGGAUCCCGGAAUUGUUUGCUCCAAAUGUGAAAAGUACUAUCAUGGCACGUGUAUAGAUCCGACACACAAUCUCAAAAUGUUACAGAAUUUAGUACUUCAUACUAAGAACUGGUACUGUAGCAAAUGUAUUAUUAACGUACCUCAAGGAGAUCAUACAAGAACGAAAGAAGACAGAGUGAAUAUACAGAAAAAAAUAGAUAUUCUGUUUGAGUUGAGAACUAUUCUGUCUAUGAUUGAUACCUCUAUGUCAAAAAUGACUGACCAGUGUGAAGAACUGAGUAGGAACGCUGAAGAGUUGAGAACCGAGAACAAUUCUCUUAGGAGGCGAAUUAUUCUGCACAAGAUUCACGGCGGUGAAUCUCCCAAAGACUUUAUUGAUUGGCAUGCCAAAAGGAAAUUGCUCCAAAUCAAAGAUUAUACAAAGCCGACAAAAAAGAAGAUACCUAAGUCGGAUGAAGCAAUUGCAAAGAAGAAUGCUUUGUUUUCAUAUAUAGAAAAAAACCACAAUUGGAAACCCUAUACUAGUAAAAGGGAGAAAACACUGUCUACUCCAGUUAUAAAGCAUGCUAUUAAGCAUCAUCGUUUAGGUAAGCAAGAAACUGCAGUUUUUUUUAGCCAUGUUUUUAUUAGUAAAGUUACCCAAAAAUGGUGGCACCAGUGUUUGCUUAUUAUUAUUAUUUUCUUGUACACACUCAUUGGAGCGAUUAUAUUUUAUAUAAUAGAAGGGUUGUUGUAUGAACUUCCUUUAUUCUACAAGGUGGAAAAAAGGCGUGGUGAACUAUACGGAAAACUACAAGAGAUAACACAAGUAGUCAAUAAUGUUUUAAUCGAAAAUCAACUAAUCUUAAAUAAAACUAAGAAUUUGUUGUUCGAUUAUUUUGACUUUGUACAAGAUAUUAUGAACCAAUAUGACGAUAAAGCGACUUUUCAAGUGGAGGAAAUGGCUUGGAACUUUUUAGGAAGUAUUGUUUUCAGUGCUACGACAUGCUUGACCAUUGGUUACGGAAACAUAAGGCCAGUUACUUCAAUUGGUAAAAUGUUAUCAGUCGUAUACGCUGUGAUCGGAAUACCGCUAUUUUUAAUAUUAAUGGCCACCCUCGGUAAAACCAUAAUCACUCAAUUAAGGAAGUUGCUGCACAAAAUCAGAAUGUGCAGUAGAGGUUGUUUUUUACCUAAAGGCGAAUAUGGAGGAAAUCGAUCAAAAUCAAGAGCCACCUUGGGAACGCUAUUCAUCGAUUUUAGUGAAGAAGAACACCCAAAUUUGCCGUUAUGGCUUGUCUUCAACCUAGAAGUAAUAUAUAUAUUGAUCGGGACGCUUUCUGUUUCACUUUCGAAUCUUUAACAACAAUCGGGUUUGGAGCCUUCGUUCCGGGGAGUAACGUAUUCAUGAUAGUUUUCAUUCUGUACAUUAUAGGAGGAAUUACUGUAACAGUAGUAUGCAUCCAUGUGGCUGAGGACAUUUAUAGAAACAGAUUGAAUUUCGCAACUAGAAAACUAGGAUUAACAACUGAGAAUUAUAUUGAACGCCAUUUGAAAUAACGCAAAAGAGUACGCUCCAGCAUCUGUGUUUCUUUCAACGAAAUUCCACAUUCGGAAGGCGUCUUUAAAUAUAAAUCUAUCUGAUUUGUCAAAUAA